AUGAGAGGAGCCGCGCGGGGCGGCUCUGGCCGGAUCGGGAUGAGUGUUCGCCUGCAUGGCUGGGCCGGGUGGAGCCGCCCAGGUCGUCCUGCCCGUCCGUCCUCUGGACCGUCCCCCACGCUGUUCGUAUCUCCUCCCAGCACCCAAGUGAGCCGGUUCAUCCUCCGCACAGCACCCGGCUCGUGUCAGGACACCGAGGGCAAACUCUCCUCGGGGUGUCCGAGUCACCCCGUGCACCCUUCUCCCGGCUCCUCUCGGCACCCAUCACCCUGCCCAUCCCCCCCGAGUCACCCUUGCACCCUUCUCCCGGCUCCUCUCGGCACCCAUCACCCUGCCCAUCCCCCCCGAGUCACCCUUGCACCCUUCUCCCAGCUCCUCUCGGCACCCAUCACCCUGCCCAUGCCCCCCGAGUCACCCCAUGCACCCUUCUCUCGGCUCCAGAGUCACCCUGUGCGUCCUCCUCUCAGCACCCAUCACCCUGCCCAUGCCCCCCGAGGGACCCCGUCACCCUGGGAACCCCUUGCAAGGCUCCCAGUGACCCCGUUCAUUCUUCUUCAAGGCACCCACAUCACCCUCCAGGGCAGUGCUCCUAAAUCACUGUGUUCAUUUCUCAUCACACCCAGGUCACCCUGUGAGCCCUCCUCAGGGCACUCCUGCACCCUGUGAGCCCUGCGCAGGCACCCCUGCACCGUGUGAGCCCUCCCCUGGGGCACCCCUGCACCGUGUGAGCCCUCCCCUGGGCACCCCUGCACCUGUGAGCCCUGCUCAGGAUACUCCUGCACCGUGUGAGCCCUCCCCACGGCACCCCUGCACCUGUGAGCCCUGCACAGGCAACCCUGCACCUGUGAGCCCUCCCCAGGGCACCCCUAAACCCUGUGAACCCUCCCCUGGGCACCCCUGCACCUGUGAGCCCGCCCCUGGGCACCCCUGCACCUGUGAGCCCGCCCCUGGGCACCCCUGCACCUGUGAGCCCUGCUCAGGAUACUCCUGCACCGUGUGAGCCCUCCCCAGGGCACCCCUGCACCUGUGAGCCCUCCCCAGGGCACCCCUGCACCGUGUGAGCCCUCCCCUGGGCACCCCUGCACCUGUGAGCCCUCCCCAGGGCACCCCUGCACCCUGUGAGCCCUCCCCAGGGCACCCCUGCACCCUGUGAGCCCUCCCCUGGGCACCCCUGCACCCUGUGAGCCCUCCCCUGGGCACCCCUGCACCUGUGAGCCCUCCCCAGGGCACCCCUGCACCCUGUGAACCCUCCCCUGGGUGCCCAAGUCAUUCUUCAAAGCAGAAUUCCUUUAUUCAAGGGGAGUUUAAAAAGUUCAUGGAAAAUGGAACUAAAAGUUAAGCGUAUAUUUGUUAUAUAAAAUGUAAGCUGAUUUUUGGUGCAAAAAAUUUUGAAAUCUCUGCAUCAUUUUUCACAGUGUGCAUUUUCAGUUAACAGGCGUGAACAAGUAUAUAAUGAAACUUUCGAAAUCCGAUGAACCAUAAACACUUUACAAGCUGUGGGAGUUUAUUCCUGCAUUUUAUCUGGAGGACUGGCUUUGUAUUUGUCAAUAAUUUGCCAACACAAUAAUUUAAUAAAGUUUUUGGCUAAUGUAAAAUCCA
ensembl:lncRNA